CUGCUGCUGCUGCACCUCCAUCAUUGUCCAUCUCCAGUCCAGAAGUGUCAGCAGCACAACGAGUCCUGCCUGCAACUCUCUCCGUCCCUGCAGGAUCAGAUGUGCAGGAAAAAGGCCUGAAGAAAGCUGUCCCUGUACGCCCUGAGCUGAUGUUCCUCGGUGUCAGGUGAAAACCAGAACAACUUUGGCCUCGUCUGCUGCUGCUGAUCGUGUGAGCCAUCAGUUAAUGUCCUCCACACUUCACCCCCAGUACUUCCUGCUUACAAAGACGACAUUCGUCACUGGAACUGCUUGAAACAGCAGAGCAUCUGGAUGAAAACAGAGCUGCAGUCCAUGGGUCUGUGGCCAGGUUCUCCACCUGUCAGGAACCCCAUUAAGAUGCUGUCGUUGUGGUGUCAGCCCCCACAACCAGAGCUGAUUGACACCAUCUAUGAUCUGCCAGCCCCUAAAUACUUCCAGCUCCACCCUUUCUUUAUCUGGAAGCCAGAAAAUUACGACAUAAUGGGCAGGCUGAGAAACAAUUACCGCUUUCCUUGCAUUAGCACUUGGGUUGCGUCUCAGGUUGUGCCAGCAGGUAUGGGAAGACCAAGGGUGAUUGUUGGAAUCGCUGGCCAGUACUAUCUGCUUUCCUCUAGACUGUGCUGCAAAGUCUGCCGUAAGAGGUAGUUCGCAGACAACCCACAAUGGCUGGAGAAACUCCCAAAGAGGUUUACCAACCUGCUGCCAGCCACGCUGACUUAUAAAAAAGCGAUCUGCAAGUCUGUCAUGGAUGAACUCAGGAGGGCGGGCAACUCCCCAUCAGUGAUGGCAAACCAAAUAAAUGAAAUAAUGCACCUGAAAUACGAGCAUGCCAACCUGGCCUAUCUCCUCGCCUGUCAAAACGUCAUGGACAAAGAGGUGGGGGCGUAUGGGCAAAGGACAAUAUCCAACUUUGUUAGGCAGGAAACAUAGCCAGCUCCUUUUGGAGAGUACGGGGACGGAGAUGGGUGGAACGACAUUUGUUUCUUCCCACUAUCUCACCGACUGUCUGCUGCAGGAGUAUAAACACCAGGAAGUGUCCAUCAAAAAAAUGAUGCAGGGGACUUUUGGCCAGGCUUUCCUGAAGUGGUUCAAUUCAACUAUGAACAAAUUCAUAGUUCAUGUCCAGCUUAAUGUGUACCUGCAUUGAACAGUUUGGGGUUAAAAAAAAAAAGCCAUGGGCUCCAAGUGAUUGAUUUGAUUGGUGUCAUCUCGGGGUUUCACUGAAGGGGGAUCCGUCUGCUGCUGUGCUUCAUCCUCCGAUGGUGGAGUGAGGUCCUCACGGGGUUCUCCAGUCCGGGUCAGGGAUCUCUGUCACUUUACACACAUCUCUAGCUGUUGUGUCGAUGUAAUGUACUCUGAGAAUUAAAAUUGCGGUGUAUUCCCAGUUCUGUGCGUUUCCCUCUAAUAAAAGUGUGGUUUCUGUAAUGACAAGAAGUGACCAGAAGAUGUCACUGUUAGGAGGAAACAGACGGGACUGAGAAAGAACACUUUUUAAAUUUUUUUUAUUUCAACAUUUCAAAGAUACAGUACAGAAAAGUCGCAUUAUAAAAAUAUAGGACACGAACAUAUAUAAUUCUAAAAAAUGGUUAUUCACUUAUGGUUUUGCAAUUUUUAACUGCUGAAAAUAAGAAUAUGAAUAACAUACAUUUUGAACAUAUUAUAGAUAAAGAAUAACCAGAUUAAGAAUUCACAGUUACUGUUACACAAAAUAAAUAUAUAAAUAAAUCAAAGAGAACAAAAAAAAAAGAAAGAAAGAAAUGGAAAACUCGAGAGUUAAAUUAAAUAAGUGGUCCUAAUAAUGCACAGAUGAAAUUAACCUUAAGUAUUGCUCCAGU